rnacentral:rRNA from 1 species
GACGAACGCUGGCGGCGUGCUUAACACAUGCAAGUCGAACGGUAAGGCCCUUCGGGGUACACGAGUGGCGAACGGGUGAGUAACACGUGGGUGAUCUGCCCUGCACUUCGGGAUAAGCCUGGGAAACUGGGUCUAAUACCGGAUAGGACCACUGCCUGCAUGGGUGGUGGUGGAAAGCUUGUGCGGUGUGGGAUGGGCCCGCGGCCUAUUAGCUUGUUGGUGGGGUGAUGGCCUUCCAAGGCGACGACGGGUAGCCGGCCUGAGAGGGUGACCGGCCACACGGGGACGGAGGUACGACACAGACGCCUACGGGAGGCAGCAGUGGGGAAUAUGGCACAAUGGGCGCAAGCCUGCUGCAGCGACGCCGCGUGAGGGAUGACGGCCUUCGGGUUGUAAACCUCUUUCAGCACCGACGAAGCGCAAGUGACGUUAGGUGCAGAAGAAGGACCGGCCAACUACGUGCCAGCCGCCGCCGUAA